GUUUUGAUAGUUUAAUAAAAACUUUGGUCUUGUAAACCAAAAAUGAAAUACUUCUUAAAACU
rnacentral:tRNA from 1 species